CCUACGGGAGGCAGCAGUGGGGAAUAUUGCACAAUGGGGGAAACCCUGAUGCAGCGACGCCGCGUGAGUGAAGAAGUAACUCGUUAUGUAAAGCUCUAUCAGUAGGGAAGAAAAUGACGGUACCUGAGUAAGAAGCCCCGGCUAACUACGUGCCAGCAGCCGCGGUAAUACGUAGGGGGCAAGCGUUAUCCGGAUUUACUGGGUGUAAAGGGAGCGUAGACGGCAGUGCAAGUCCGGAGUGAAAGUCGGAGGUUCAACCCCCGGACUGCCCUUGAAACUGUACGGCUGGAGUGCAGGAGAGGUAAGUGGAAUUCCUGGUGUAGCGGUGAAAUGCGUAGAUAUUAGGAAGAACACCGAUGGCGAAGGCGGCUUACUGGACUGUAACUGACGUUGAGGCUCGAAAGCGUGGGGAGCAAACAGGAUUAGAUACCCGGGUAGUC
rnacentral:rRNA from 1 species